rnacentral:rRNA from 1 species
CUUGCUUCUUCGCUGACGAGUGGCGGACGGGUGAGUAAUGUCUGGGAAACUGCCUGAUGGAGGGGGAUAACUACUGGAAACGGUAGCUAAUACCGCAUAACGUCGCAAGACCAAAGAGGGGGACCUUCGGGCCUCUUGCCAUCGGAUGUGCCCAGAUGGGAUUAGCUAGUAGGUGGGGUAACGGCUCACCUAGGCGACGAUCCCUAGCUGGUCUGAGAGGAUGACCAGCCACACUGGAACUGAGACACGGUCCAGACUCCUACGGGAGGCAGCAGUGGGGAAUAUUGCACAAUGGGCGCAAGCCUGAUGCAGCCAUGCCGCGUGUAUGAAGAAGGCCUUCGGGUUGUAAAGUACUUUCAGCGGGGAGGAAGGGAGUAAAGUUAAUACCUUUGCUCAUUGACGUUACCCGCAGAAGAAGCACCGGCUAACUCCGUGCCAGCAGCCGCGGUAAUACGGAGGGUGCAAGCGUUAAUCGGAAUUACUGGGCGUAAAGCGCAC